GAGUUUGAUCGUGGCUCAGGAUAAACGCUGGCGGCGUGCCUAAAACAUGCAAGUCGAACGGGCCCUAUGCUUUCGGGUGUGGGGUUAGUGGCGAACGGCUGAGUAACACGUGGGUGACCUGCCCUCGAGCGGGGGAUAACUGCCCGAAAGGGUGGCUAAUACCGCAGAUGUCAUGCAUUCGGUUGUGUGACUGAACUCCAGGGGUUCGGGGAGGGGCCUGCGGCCGAUUAGCUAGCUGGUGGGGUAAAGGCCUACCAGGGCGACGAUCGGUAGCUGGUCUGAGAGGAUGAUCAGCCAGACUGGGACUGCGAGACGGCCCAGACUCCUACGGGAGGCAGCAGUUAGGAAUUUUGGGCAAUGGGCGAAAGCCUGACCCAGCAACGCCGCGUGGGUGAUGAAGGCCUUC
rnacentral:rRNA from 1 species